GUAAUUAUUGGAGUGGAGUAUUUUGUACAUUGUGACCUGCUGUUUCUUUCUUCUGCCCGGGGACAACAGAUGAAAAUUAGCUUGUAGCUAAAUCUGGUCUGUGCAACACAUUUAUUGUGCAAUGUCCUUGACAAAUAAAUAAAUAAAUAAAUAAAGAAAGAAAGAAAGAAAGA